rnacentral:rRNA from 1 species
UGGGGAAUUUUGGACAGUGGGCGCAAGCCUGAUCCAGCAAUGCCGCGUGCAGGAAGAAGGCCUUCGGGUUGUAAACUGCUUUUGUCAGGGAAGAAAUCCUCUGGGUUAAUACCUCGGGGGAUGACGGUACCUGAAGAAUAAGCACCGGCUAACUACGUGCCAGCAGCCGCGGUAAUACGUAGGGUGCGAGCGUUAAUCGGAAUUACUGGGCGUAAAGCGUGCGCAGGCGGUUGUGCAAGACAGGUGUGAAAUCCCCGGGCUUAACCUGGGAACUGCACUUGUGACUGCACGGCUAGAGUACGGUAGAGGGGGGAUGGAAUUCCGCGUGUAGCAGUGAAAUGCGUAGAUAUGCGGAGGAACACCGAUGGCGAAGGCAAUCCCCUGGACCUGUACUGACGCUCAUGCACGAAAGCGUGGGGAGCAAACAGGAUUAGAUACCCUGGUAGUCCACGCCCUAAACGAUGUCAACUGGUUGUUGGACGGCUUGCUGUUCAGUAACGAAGCUAACGCGUGAAGUUGACCGCCUGGGGUAGUACGGCCGCAGUUGAACUCAAAGGAAUUGACGGGGUCAUAGCUGUUUCC